GACGAACGCUGGCGGCGUGCUUAACACGUGCAAGUCGAACGGAAAGGCCCUGCUUUUGUGGGGUGCUCGAGUGGCGAACGGGUGAGUAACACGUGAGUAACCUGCCCUUGACUUUGGGAUAACUUCAGGAAACUGGGGCUAAUACCGGAUAGGAGCUCCUGCUGCAUGGUGGGGGUUGGAAAGUUUCGGCGGUUGGGGAUGGACUCGCGGCUUAUCAGCUUGUUGGUGGGGUAGUGGCUUACCAAGGCUUUGACGGGUAGCCGGCCUGAGAGGGUGACCGGCCACAUUGGGACUGAGAUACGGCCCAGACUCCUACGGGAGGCAGCGGUGGGGAAUAUUGCACAAUGGGCGGAAGCCUGAUGCAGCAACGCCGCGUGCGGGAUGACAGCCUUCGGGUUGUAAACCGCUUUCGCCUGUGACGAAGCGUGAGUGACGGUAAUGGGUAAAGAAGCACCGGCUAACUACGUG
rnacentral:rRNA from 1 species